GCAGACUCACUCUGUUCUUAGCUGUUCACUCCGGCUUCGAACUUUUUCUGUCUGCUACAUGAAUAUGCAGAAUAUAUCAGUUUACUAGCUUUCUAAAAGGCUGGUGUCAGUAUGUUCUGCUACAUUACA